rnacentral:lncRNA from 1 species
UCUUCUUAUGCACACGCUCCAAUAAUCUUUGCCAGCUAGGGUUCCAAAAAUUUCCCCCAAUUCCCAUCGAUAAUCCCAAUCCGAUAUGGGCUCCCUCAUCAAUUCUUCAUUAUUAUAUACCCAUCAAUCCCAAUUCCGGAUCAGAAUGUUGCCCAAUCGCCCUACACGAUUACACUCCUCCAUCUACCCCGAGAGCUUAAAUCAAAUGCCGCAGUAGAUGAUUCGGUGAAGAGCCUCGCCUCCGACCUCUG